CGUCUAUAUACGUAUAGCAUAUCAAUAAGCGGAGGAAAAGAAACUAACUAGGAUUCCCUCAGUAACGGCGAGUGAAGCGGGAAGAGCUCAAAUUUGAAAUCUUCAAGGUUCUACCUUGACGAAUUGUAGUUUAAAGAAGUGUUUUCUGUUGGAGUUUUGGUAAAAGUUCUUUGGAAUAGGACAUCAUAGAGGGUGAGAAUCCCGUAUUUGACCAUUAUUUCCAACUUUGUGAUACACUUUCAAAGAGUCGGAUUGUUUGGGAAUGCAGUCCAAAAUGGGUGGUAAAUUUCAUCUAAAGCUAAAUACUGGCGAGAGACCGAUAGCGAACGAGUACCGUGAGGGAAAGAUGAAAAGAACUUUGAAAAGAGAGUUAAACAGUACGUGAAAUUGUCAAAAGGGAAGCGUUUGACACCAGUGUUGUUUUCUCGAAAAUCAAUUAAAAAUGGCGGGAUUUUGUGUUGUAUUGACUUUAUCAGCUUUCUGCACUUUUUUCCUAUCUUUUUUAAUGCACUUUUCGUUUAACAAGUCAACAUCAAUUUCUUUUGUUGUAAAAGGGUCAUUGGAAGGUGGCUUUCUUUUCGGAGAAAGUGUUUAUAGCCUUUGACUUCUGCAAUCGGAGAGAUUGAGGUCUGCAGCGUAGAUCCUUCGGGGUUAGAUACAUUUGUGCUAAGUUAUAGCCUUUCAUAGACAACUUGUUGACUAUGAUCAGUCAUGUAGCUUACUCGCUUAUGUCAUUUUACCUACGCUUAGGAUGUUGACGAUCAGCUGAGCGCG
rnacentral:rRNA from 1 species